CAGUCGCCGCGGGAAUACGUAGGUGGCAAGCGUUGUCCGGAAUUAUUGGGCGUAAAGGGCUCGCAGGCGGUUUCUUAAGUCUGAUGUGAAAGCCCCCGGCUCAACCGGGGAGGGUCAUAGGAAACUGGGAAACUUGAGUGCAGAAGAGGAGAGUGGAAUUCCACGUGUAGCGGUGAAAUGCGUAGAGAUGUGGAGGAACACCAGUGGCGAAGGCGACUCUCUGGUCUGUAACUGACGCUGAGGAGCGAAAGCGUGGGGAGCGAACAGGAUUAGAUACCCGUGUAGUCCCUGUCUCUUAUAC
rnacentral:rRNA from 1 species